rnacentral:tRNA from 2 species
GCCCGAAUAGCUCAGCUGGUCAGAGCAACCGCCUUGUAAGCGGUAGGUCGCCGGUUCGAAUCCGGCUUCGGGCUCCA